rnacentral:rRNA from 1 species
GACGAACGCUGGCGGCGUGCCUAAUACAUGCAAGUCGAGCGGAUGGAAGGAAGCUUGCUUCCUAAAGUCAGCGGCGGACGGGUGAGUAACACGUGGGCAACCUGCCCCUAAGAUCGGGAUAACUUCGGGAAACCGGAGCUAAUACCGGAUAUGAUUAUGUCUCACAUGAGACAUAAUGGAAAGACGGUUUCGGCUGUCACUUUGGGAUGGGCCCGCGGCGCAUUAGCUAGUUGGUGAGGUAACGGCUCACCAAGGGGACGAUGCGUAGCCGACCUGAGAGGGUGAUCGGCCAAACUGGGACUGAGACACGGCCCAGACGCCUAGGGGAGGCAGCUGGAGGGAAUCUUCCGCAAGGGACGAAAGUCUGACGGAGCAACGCCGCGUGAGUGAAGAAGGUUUUCGGAUCGUAAAACUCUGUUGUUAGGGAAGAACAAGUACCAUAGUAACUGAGGGUACCGUGACGGUACCUAACCAGAAAGCCACGGCUAACUACGUGCCAGCGGCCGCGGUAAAAC